CUCGCUAUUGUUCCAUCUGCAACUGAGCACCUUUUCUGCAGAAAGUAAAGACAGCCUUGCUAAGAGAUCAUUUGUCUCCAAGCUGACUUUUCUUUGCAGCACCGAUUAUCUAUUUCUAACAAUUUUGGGGGCUCGUCCAGGAUUACAGUCUCCUCUAGGGUGGGUCUCCAGUCCUCUCUUGUGAGAAGGCAUGCCCCACUACCUCGUUUUUGGCAGCCUCAGGGGUGAGGAACCGAGAUCCACCCAGUGUGAUGAAUAAACUGGGACUCUCAGCAACGUGGAAAGAAACUGGCUAGCAACGUAGGGUAAAGGAUCCUCACAUACUGCGGUAAUGACUCUGCACAGACCAAGGAAGGAGAAACCAUGGGAGCUGAGGCGUAUUGCUACAUUUGGGGCAAUGCGUACAUAUGUGGUUUCGUUAGCUCCAGCGGGGGCUAAUCCUCUGACAGAGCCACCUCUCACACGAAACACUGAAUGGAGGCGAUCCCGAGAUGGAUGGAGCAGCAGCAGCGCAGGUUGCUGCAGCUGUGCUGCCAGAGAUUGUAAUUCAGGAACCAAUCUCAAGCUGAGCAGAGGAAAAAAUGAGAUGCUUCAUGAAAAUGGCCAAAUGUCAUCACCAGCUAUUUUGUGAGAAGAGCUAUGUUAGGAGCCAUCCACAUGUAAAAUGGACUUUCACCAAAUUCCAUCCAUCUGCCGGUCAUGGAAGCUCACAACAUGUAUGUCUCCUGAGGGAGCCUUUUCGUUUUGUGCUUUUUCUGGCACUAAGAAAUACAGACACUUGUGAUUUACUACUGGGCACUUAUAGGAAUGGAGUCAACUAUUUCCUAAGAAACUCAAAGACUGAAAUGAGAAAUUCAGAAAAUAAAAAUAUUUUCUGUGUUAGAAAACUAUAUACCAGAAAGCCUGAAAAGUGAGGCAAAGGGCACGAAAUUCUGGUUAAUAAGAUGUUGUAGAUUAGUGAGAACUUGAAAAUGUUUUUGCUUCUAGUAUAUUUUUUGGAAUUUCUAAACUAUAUUAGCUCCCUUUCUUACCUUAGGAAUUACAGUAUUGUGAUCAUGUGAGAAGAUAGUUCUAAAUAUUAAUAAAUAUUUUUAACUUCAUCAAA
rnacentral:lncRNA from 1 species